AUACGGAGGAUCCGAGCGUUAUCCGGAUUUAUUGGGUUUAAAGGGUGCGUAGGUGGUUUGAUAAGUCAGCGGUGAAAGUUUGCAGCUUAACUGUAAAAAUGCCGUUGAAACUGUCGGACUUGAGUGUAAAUGAGGUAGGCGGAAUGCGUGGUGUAGCGGUGAAAUGCAUAGAUAUCACGCAGAACUCCGAUUGCGAAGGCAUCUUACUAAACUAAAAAUGACCCUGAAGCACUAAAGCGUGGGGAUCUAACAGGAUUAGAUGCCCUGGUAGAGCACGCCGUAGGCGAUGAUUACUAGCUGUUUGCGAUACACAGUGAGCCGCACAGCGAAAGCGUUAAGUAAUCCACCUGGGGAGUUCCCCGGUAACGGUGCAACUCAAAUGAAUUGACGGGG
rnacentral:rRNA from 1 species